rnacentral:rRNA from 1 species
GUCUAUGGCCAUGCCACCUUGAACGUGCCCGAUCUCAUCUGAUCUCAGAAGCUAAGUAGGGUCGGGCCUGGUUAGUACUUGGAUGGGUGACCACCUAGGAAUAUCAGAUGCUGUAGGCA